rnacentral:tRNA from 1 species
GGGGAUUUAGCUCAGUGGCAUAAGCACCUGCCUUGCAAGCAGGCAGUACCAAUAUCCCCA